CGGCAUUUUAUCCCCGCAAGGGACAUUAUGCCCACAUCGUCAUGCUAAUCUGCGACGAAGACAUGGGAAUCCUGCCGUGAACCACUGCGUCUGGGGUCAGACUACGACGCCCACGUCUGGUGGACAACGCGGCUGCGUGAGCGCAUCGAAGGGGCCCGGAUUGCCGCGGCCGUACCUUCUGGCCUCUAGGUGACAGAGGCUACAAACCAGGACCAUGGCUCCUGACACCUCUCCGAGGCUGUCCUCCCAGAAACGCUGUUAAAAAGGCAAGUGCUACACUGCACAUGCUGCAAUGCAGUCUGUAAUGAAGCGUUGUGCUGGGCUAUUGAGGAGCUGCUUCCGCUGCGUUCAGCAGUGCAGUUGUACCCUCCAUUAAGAAUCAGAAUAUGCAUCUCACAUUGCUGCAGCAUGUGCAGUGUUGCACUUGCCUUUGCAUUGCAGAAGGUGACAGAAAUGUUCAUUUCAGCGAUGAUUACAAUAGUGAGCAUGGCAGUGUUGUCAGAGAUGACCCCCAACCACUGCUUAGACAAGGAAGGUCAUCACGCUCCUCAUGUAUUCCUGGACAAGCUGUCCGCAGUGGUAAUCCGCUAUUUGGCUAACUACACCACUGACAACAGCACUAGGCAAGUGUCAUUUCAGUGAGAAACAUGUGCCUAAGAAGUAACAAUAAUAUAUGGGGUUUUCCGUGCCAAAACUGUGAUACAAUUC
rnacentral:lncRNA from 1 species